UGCCAGUGGGAGGAGUCAGCAGACGACCUGCUCUACCUGCUGAGCCACAGGUGGAGUCAUCAGGGUGGAGUCGUUUCAAACUGAACCCAGCUGUGACAGGAUUAGAGCAGGACCCCAAAGAAAGAAAGUGAUGUCACCACAGCAGAGUUCUGGUCUACAGG